UACGUAGGGGGCAAGCGUUGUCCGGAUUUAUUGGGCGUAAAGAGCGUGUAGGCGGCUUGACAGGUCUGCUGUGAAAACUCGAGGCUCAACCUCGAGAUGUCGGCGGAAACCGUCUGGCUAGAGUCCGGAAGAGGAGAGUGGAAUUCCUGGUGUAGCGGUGAAAUGCGCAGAUAUCAGGAAGAACACCUAUGGCGAAGGCAGCUCUCUGGGACGGUACUGACGCUGAGACGCGAAAGCAUGGGGAGCGAACAGG
rnacentral:rRNA from 1 species